AAAUGAAUAGACGGGGGCCCGCACAAGCGGAGGAACAUGUGGUUUAAUUCGAUGAUACGCGAGGAACCUUACCCGGGCUCGAACGGUGCAUGAAUAUAUGAGAGAUUGUAUAGUCUUCGGACAUGCAUCGAGGUGCUGCAUGGUUGUCGUCAGCUCGUGCCGUGAGGUGUCGGCUUAAGUGCCAUAACGAGCGCAACCCUUGUCAUUAGUUGCCAUCAGGUUAUGCUGGGGACUUUAAUGAGACUGCCACCGUAAGGUGUGAGGAAGGUGGGGAUGACGUCAAAUCAGCACGGCCCUUAUGUCCGGGGCGACACACGUGUUACAAUGGGAGGUACAGAGGGCAGCCAUCCGGCGACGGAGCGCUAAUCUCGAAAACCUUUCUCAGUUCGGAUUGGAGUCUGCAACUCGACUCCAUGAAGGUGGAUUCGCUAGUAAUCGCGCAUCAGCCAUGGCGCGGUGAAUACGUUCCCGGGCCUUGUACACACCGCCCGU
rnacentral:rRNA from 1 species